AUAACAGAAAACACCUUCACAGUCGAGCCAAGUUUUGGAGACGCGUCGUGUGCCUACCCAGUGAAGAAUUUCGCGGCGCCCCAAGUCUCAUGCACUAGUCAGUUGCCUCUAGGUAAGUAGUAGGUGUUUUUCAGCCAUAGAGGCGUUCUGCUACAUCGCGACAUCGCGAGCCCCAGUCUGUCGUCGGUCGUCGUCUGGCUCUAGAAGGUAUUAAAUAACAGCGAACUUGUCCGGCAACGUUUCAUUAGUAGACGCGCCGUCAAUCCGAAAACAAGUGCCAUUUUACUCACAGUGAACUCACGCGUUUCCCCGUUCGCGACGAAUUGCAAAAAAAAAAAAUUGAAGUAAACCGACCGCCUUGUUCCGACCCUCUUUCCUGCGCUUAGAGGCACCCUCGAGUUAGUAGAUCGUAGUUCCAGUUUAGAAGUAGAGCGUGGAUUUUCUGUUGGUUUUUUUUAUUCAUCUUCCAGAACUCACCGUAAUCGGAUUUAAGUGUACGUUUUGUAGAGGGGCUUAUUAAAAUCUAAAGUUGGAAGGAAGUUUCCCUAUCGUAUCAUUUGACAUCUGUUUUGAGUUUGUGUGUGUCCGGGGUAAAUUUUUGUUCUACAAAGUUCGAAGACUGUACGAUAAGAUCUAGUUAAGUGCGAACCGAACAUUCGAGCAUUGAGCUCAACGAAUAGUGCUAUAUAAGUGAUUUAGUUUCAUCGGCGCAGCUUCUAAGCUUCCAUAUCGAGACAAAGUUAGUGGAGAUCAAAAUCUUUGAUCUGAAGAGCUCUCGCAGCAUUACUCAGCCAGCAUCGCUAACGGAAACGUGCUUCAAUCAUCAAACUCACGCGCCAAAUUAACGAACGUGUAGGAUUACAAAUCCAUAUUAGGAUAAACGCUUCCAAUCGCAAAGAUCACAGACUUAAGGCAACAAACAGUUCAUCUAACUUCGAACGUUUAAGUUUUUCUUAGUUUUACGACCCAUUUGCAAGCGAAAGAAAUCAUCUAAAAUGGUUGUCCUGCAGAGCACCAGCGCCAGUGUCACAUCCGCCUCAGCUGCCGCCGCCGGAAGCACCAAGGGUGGCCGCAAGAUAUCGUCCGCUGCUGGCGGCAACGUCCGGAAAAGGUACCGACACGCGUACCGGGUGAUGGUGGGAUUCGAACAGCGACCAUGGACCCCCACCAAGAGACGUGGCCCGAUCGCUGCCGAACAUCGAGGCCCUGGACCGCAAUAUCUGCUGCCACAAUUGCUCGGUACGAGAGUGGUCGAUUCCAAACGGGCGGCCGCUCCGGCAUACAGUUUCGGCCAGCGGCACCGGGCCCGGACCGAAUCCUUCAGUCCGGGUCCGCUGUACAACAUCACCGGGCUCGGCUGCAAAGGUAAAGACACCCCGCCGGCCUACUGUCUGCAGAGCCGGCCCAAGGAGAUUCCCAAGUACCUGACGCCGGCCCCGGGCGAGUACAACAUCGAGAAGGCGAACCGGAUGCUGGUCAAAGCGGCCCCCCGGUACACAUUCGGCGUCAAGAAGCCCCCGAAAUCGACCAGCGAAACGCCAGCACCAUGUGAUUACAAACCAGAGAAAGUUGUAUUAGAUAACACUCCUAAAUUUUCCUUUGGGAUUCGACCGGAAGUUAAAGUGCGCAGUGAAACUCCAGCUCCCGGAUCCUACUCACCGCAAAAAGUAUUAUUCGACAAAUCACCAAAGUAUAGCUUUGGCCUGAAAGUGAUUCCGGAAAAGUUCGAGGACAUCCCUGGACCGGGAUCUUAUCAGCCGGAAAAGUCCAGCCUACUGCUGGACCGGAAACCGGCCUUCACAUUCGGUUUGAAGACAAUCGCUGAAAAGCCCAGCCAAACGCCUGCCCCGUGCGCAUAUGAACCUGAAAAAACGAAGCUGGAUAACACGCCCUCCUAUAGCUUUGGUUUAAGGCCGAAUUUGGAGAAACCCAAUGCGAAUCCAGCACCUGGUCAGUAUGCACCGGAGAAGUCGAAAACCCUCGACCACUCACCAGCCUAUCAAUUCGGCAUACGCCUCAAUCAUGACAAGCCAAGCGAUACACCAGCUCCAACGGCUUACGCAGUAGAGAAAGUAAACCUAGCUCAUCAUCCGGCUUAUAGUUUUGGGCAGCGAACGAAUGUGGCCAAACCGAACAGCAAUCCUGCCCCGGGUGCCUACGCACCGGAAAAGGCCAACGCAGAGGGUGGUCCCAAGUAUAGCUUCGGAAUCCGACCGACAAUCGAUACCGUUGAUUCGGUGCCCGCUCCCGGAUCUUAUUCUCCCGAAAAGGCCAAGAUAGAUAGCAAUAGUCCCGCGUAUAGCUUCGGAGCGCGAAUCAAUCAUGAUAAACCAAGUGCCAAUCCCGGACCGGGAGCCUACGAUGCCGAUAAGGUGCUGGACAAGAAUGCACCUUGCUAUAGUUUCGGAGCCAGAACGAAUGUAGAUAAGAAAAGUGAUAUUCCUGGUCCCGGAGCCUACGAUACGGAUAAGUUAGUUGAUAAGACUCCUGCUUACAGUUUUGGUGUUAAGACAAAAGGAGAUAAACCUAGUGAUAUUCCUGGCCCUGGUGCAUAUGAUGCUGAUAAGGUUAUCGACAAGGGUACUCCGGCGUAUAGUUUUGGAUUGAAAACAAACGUCAAUAAGCCGAACAACGUACCUGGACCAGGAGCGUACGAUUCCGACAGAGUUGAUAAAGGUGCUCCUGCGUACAGUUUUGGCGCAAAAACGAAUCUCGAUAAACCAAAUCAAGUACCCGGACCAGGAACUUAUGAUAGCGAUAAAGUUGACAAGACAACUCCAGCUUACAGUUUUGGCGUGAAGACAAAUCUAGAGAAACCCAACAAUGUCCCAGGACCUGGUGCGUACAACUCCGACAAAGUAGUUGACAAAAAUACGCCAGCUUACAGUUUUGGUAUAAAACACAGUACCGAAAAGUCUGAUAGCAUUCCAGGUCCCGGAGCUUACAACUCAGACAAAGUUGACACCGGAGCUCCAGCCUACUCCUUUGGUGUUAAAACGAAUGUCGACAAACCGAACCAAGUCCCUGGACCUGGUGCCUAUGACUCCGACAAAACUGUUGACAAAAAUGCUCCUGCGUACAGUUUCGGAGUGAAAACUUACGUCGAUAAGAUACCUCAACUUCCUGGACCAGGUACAUACGACGUUGACAAAGUUGUAGACAAAUCGACUCCAGCUUACACAUUUGGGGUGAAAACCAACGUGGACAAAAAGGACAACAUUCCUGGCCCGGGUGCCUACAAUAACGAAAAAAUCCUAGACAAGGAUACACCUGCUUACAGUUUCGGACUGAAAACAAACACCGAUAAAGUAGAUAACACACCCGCACCGGGAUCAUACGCCCCGGAGAAGUGCAACCUGGACCACACACCCCAAUACACUUUUGGCAUCAAGACAAACGUCACCCGAAAGGACACCAUUCCCGGUCCGGGAACCUACAAAACGGAAACCGUCAAACUGGACAACACUCCGGCCUAUUCCUUUGGAGUACGCCCAAAUAUCGAUAAAGUAGACUCUAACCCCGCCCCCGGAAGUUAUUCUCCCAUUGUGCCAAAAAUUCACAACCCAGCGUACACGUUCGGGGUGCGGCCAAAUAUCGACAAGGUUGAGUCUACUCCGGCGCCCGGGGAUUACAAACCGGAAACCGUGAAGCUGGACCACACCCCUGCCUACAGCUUCGGCACCCGACCUAGCAUCGAUAAAAUAGAACUGACUCCGGCACCCGGGGCCUACGAAGUGGAAAAAGUGAAGCUGGACCACGCUCCCGCCUACCAGUUCGGUAUCAAAACCAACCGGGAAAAGGUUAACGAUGUACCAGCCCCCGGUUCAUACAAUCCGGAGAAAUGCAAACUGGAACACGCUCCUGCAUAUUCGUUUGGAAUCAGGCACAAAGGAGAAACGCUUAGGGAUACGCCAGCUCCUUCCGCCUACCGCCCAGAGCAAUGCAAAAUAGAUGUCGCCCCAGCGUUCACCUUCGGAGUGAAGGUAAAUCCUGAAAAGCUCAGUGAUAACCCAGUAUCAGAGUCCGCCGGAAACACAGUGACGACAGUCUCGGCAUUGAGCAAUGGCAACGGCACUUCCAUCACUUCCGGCAACCAGGUUCAAACCUCCGCCGUUUCCGCCACAGCUUCCCGAAAAUUGACCACGGUGAUAGAAAACGGUGGCGGAAGUGGCACCGUUGCACUGAAGCAAUCUAGUAGCACCAGCAGCAGUGCCCAAAGUAGUUCUAUCCAACAGAAACAACAGCAAAAUUCCACCCAACAAGUGGUGGCCAAUGGAAAUGGGGUCUUAACGACGACCACAACCACCAGCGGAAGUGUCAAGAUGACUCGGGAGAGGAAAACUGUCUGCGAGGAGCGGGUCAGCAAUGGCAGCAGCACCACAGUUAGCACAACCGAGGCCGUUGUCCCAAGUUGCAUUUCCGGUCAGGUGAAAUCGUCCCUACAGCAUCAGCGCAUGGUCUGCACCGGACACUUCCGGGCCUAAGAUGGGUUUCCUCCGAUUUCAUUCGUGUUUGAGAAAAAGAAACGUAGUGUUGUGUCUGUGUUGAUUUUUGUAAAAGUGUCGUAUAUAGAGUUUUUUGUGCUUCCUAUAGAUGAACUAGCUUUUAAAGUGCUUUUUAUUUGAAAUAAUGAACUCACAAAACCCUAAAAGUUAAAUAAGACAAAAAUACUGUGCACCUGAAACGUAGACUUUGUAUUGGAUUUUGAUUCCUACGUAGCUGUUGUAGAUUUUUUGCAUGUUUUAUCAUUACCGACAUUCUCAAUAUCAUCUGUAACAAAAGCCCCCAACGAAUACCACAUUCCAGAAGUGCUCGGCUCAAGCAAAGAAGGCCAGAUCCGAUCCGCCCCCGCCUACACAAUCACCGGUCGCCAAAAGCCUCGGCUUCCUGAGUGCAUCACUUUCCCUGGUCCCGGCCAUUA